AUUGAACGCUGGCGGCAUGCCUUACACAUGCAAGUCGAACGGCAGCACGGGGGCAACCCUGGUGGCGAGUGGCGAACGGGUGAGUAACGCAUCGGAAUGUACCCAGUAGUGGGGGAUAACUAGUCGAAAGAUUAGCUAAUACCGCAUACGCACUGAGGUGGAAAGCGGGGAUCGCAAGACCUCGCGCUAUUGGAGCAGCCGAUGUCCGAUUAGGUAGUUGGUGGGGUAAAGGCCUACCAAGCCUGCGAUCGGUAACUGGUCUGAGAGGACGACCAGUCACACUGGGACUGAGACACGGCCCAGACUCCUACGGGAGGCAGCAGUGGGGAAUUUUGGACAAUGGCGCAAGCCUGAUCCAGCAAUGCCGCGUGUGUGAAGAAGGCCUCGGUUGU
rnacentral:rRNA from 1 species